AACAACUGGAAUUUGUUCUGAAUUGUUUGUGGGGUUUGGAAUUGCGAAUUGAGAAGUUGAGAGGAGAAGGAAAUGGGAACUCGAACAAAUUUUUACAAGAACCCUUCAAUCUCAUACAAAAAGCACUUCAGCCUCUCCUCCGUUCUUCAGAAUCUCCAAGCUUACAACAUCGCCACCGGCCAUGUUCCUCCCGCCGAUACACGGCAUCCCCCUCAUGCCUCCUCCUGCAAACGUCGCCGGAAUCGCCAGCCACCGCAUUCCCCUCACGAUGACAGUAACGAUGAUCCUUUCUCUAUGUCACAUCACGAUUAUAUCCAAAAGAGAAGGAAAGAAGUCGAUUCUUCUCAGAAUCACGAUCGCAUUGAGUUGACUGAAGAUGUUUUGGGAAACCCUGAUUCUGCUGCCCCUUUGGUGGAUUAUGCAAGUGAUGAAGAUAUUACUUCAAAAUGUGAACAAAAUCAUCAUCUACCAAAUUCUGGUCACAAAAAAGAAUUUGAUGGUGUCAAAAGCAGAAAUGAGCAGCGAUUUCCUGUCUCUGGGGAACCUGUUUGUAUCAUAUGUGGAAGAUACGGUGAAUAUAUAUGUAAUGAGACAGAUGAUGAUGUCUGUAGCAUGGAGUGUAAAAGUGAACUUCUGGAAAUUCUUAAACUCAAUGAGGGAUCCUCCCAUGAUCAAGUUAGAGAUCUGUCCUCAUCUGGAGGUAGUGAUGCCUUAUCAACUCCAGUCUUUGGUGAUGAUACCUGGGAUUAUGAUCUACAUCGCUGGUCAAAGAAGAGAUGUAGUCUUUCUACUUAUGAAUGUUGGAAAUGUCAAAAACCUGGCCACCUGGCCGAAGAUUGUCUAAUAAAGAGUUGCAGUCAGAUCACAGCUGGAAGUAAUGGAUCUAGUUCCAUCCCAAAGGAUCUUGUUCAAUUGUAUAGAAGAUGCCACCAGAUUGGUAGAGACUUGUUGGCUGCUAACUGUAAUGCGUGCCAUAGAUCAUCAAAUUUGGCAACGUGCCUUGAUUGUAGCAUUGUCCUUUGUGAUGGGGCAGGUCACUUGGAUGAGCAUGUACGAGCACACCCUUCCCAUCAAAAAUAUUACUCGCACAAGCUUAAACGUCUGGUGAGUUUUCUCCUUUUACUUUACCAUGCUUUGAUUGAAUAAAGGUUGAAAUCUUGAGUUUAUUUAUAUGAUAUGAAUUCAUUUUAGCACGAGUGUCUAACAUCUUUUAAGCUAAACUUUGUAAUUAGUCUCGAGCAUGUAAUAUUUCAGCUACCAAUAUAUAACUCUCUGAAAUUUAAUGGAAUAUUAUAUAUGAUAUUUGAUUCAUUCAGUUCCCCUUUUCACUCUCAACCUUUUCUUUUGCAAGUCUUGUCCAAGAAAAGGAUUAAUGAAUUGUUUAGAUUACAACUUAUGAAGAACCAAAUAGCCGGGGGCAGAGAUGGGUGGAUGAGUGGACCAAAGCACCCAGGGAGGGGGGGGUUUGUGUUGCUGGGGUGACACACAUACCGAUGAAAACAAAAAAGUUUCAAUAUCUUUGUGCACAAAAGGUUAAAUGCUGCAAGUCAACAUGCAAGGUCACUGAAAUCAAGGAUCUCUUGGUUUGCCAUUAUUGCUUUGAUAAAGCCUUUGAAAAGUUCUAUGACAUGUAUACUGCAACAUGGAAAGGAGCCGGGCUUUCAAUCAUAUGGGGUUCUAUAUGCUGUGAAGACCACUUCACCUGGCACAGGAUGAAUUGUUUGAAUGCCGAUGUGGAAGAAAGUGCGUACAUUAUAAAAAGCAAUGGCCAUAAAAGCAAACGUACUCAACUUAGUGACUUCAUUUUUUGAUGGUUGAAAAUACUUCGUAUUACAACUAAUUAGUCAAUUUGGAAGUUUGUAGCUAGUAAGCAGCUUAGAAGCUGAUUAAUCUGUUUCUUACUAUUUUCAAUUUAACAGAUAAUUGCUUUCGAGCAAUAUAUAUUUGUACAGAAUUAGUUUGUAAUUCAAUAUUUCAAUGCAUUAACUUUCGUUAACGAGUCUUCGUCGAGAAGG